AUUGAACGCUGGCGGCAGGCCUAACACAUGCAAGUCGAGCGGAUGACGGGAGCUUGCUCCUUGAUUCAGCGGCGGACGGGUGAGUAAUGCCUAGGAAUCUGCCUGGUAGUGGGGGACAACGUUUCGAAAGGAACGCUAAUACCGCAUACGUCCUACGGGAGAAAGCAGGGGACCUUCGGGCCUUGCGCUAUCAGAUGAGCCUAGAUCGGAUUAGCUAGUUGGUGGGGUAAUGGCUCACCAAGGUGACGAUCCGUAACUGGUCUGAGAGGAUGAUCAGUCACACUGGAACUGAGACACGGUCCAGACUCCUACGGGAGGCAGCAGUGGGGAAUAUUGGACAAUGGGCGAAAGCCUGAUCCAGCCAUGCCGCGUGUGUGAAGAAGGUCUUCGGAUUGUAAAGCACUUUAAGUUGGGAGGAAGGGCAGUAAGCGAAUACCUUGCUGUUUUGACGUUACCGACAGAAUAAGCACCGGCUAACUCUGUGCCAGCAGCCGCCGUAACAC
rnacentral:rRNA from 1 species